rnacentral:tRNA from 1 species
AACUAAUGAGCUUGAAUAAGCAUAUAUUUUGAAAAUAUAAGAUAGAUCUUUCUAUUGGUUU